GUUCUCUUUUGCAGCCCUUGUUUCUUUCAAUAUCACUAUUUGCUAAGAAAGUUGAAAGUAAAAAUAAGAAAAUGAUUAAAAUCAAACAGCUAUAUCCGAAGCAAAAUAGGAGUAUUUGACAAGGAUCUCAUACCCACACCUGUCUUGUCUCAUGUUGACAUGGCUAUUGUUGGGUGAAGUUGGACAGUUUGGGAAUCAUAGGUGUAUACAAGUACCUAGAUAAUUAGGAAAAUGUAAAUUACAUUCUUUUACACUGUACAGUGGUUAGGACCCUUUGGGAAAUCGCCUUUGCCUUAUUUGGGGUUCAGUGGGUGUUUCCAGAGAAGGUCAAAGAGGUGUUGUUCUGUUGGCGGGGCCCUUUUGUGGGUAAAAAAAGGAAGAAGAUAUGGAAGACCAUUCCGUUAUGUAUUUUUUGGACGGUGUGGAAGGAAAGAAAUAGGUUAGCUUUUAGAGGGGGUCUUUUGGCUAUUCAGACUCUUAAGAACUCUUUUGUUUGUAGUCUGUGGAGUUGGGCUAAGUUGUAUAGGGGAGAGGAGUCCUCUUCACUUCUAGGCUUCUUGGAGUGGGUAGCGGUCCCCUAAGGGCUGGUGAGGUGUUCCUGUUUCUGUUUUUUUGGCCUUGUGGCUGCUUUGUAUACCUCCUGUAUGCGGUGCGGCCUUUCGGCCUUCUUUAAUAUAUUUUCUGCUCUUGCUUAUCAAAAAAAAAAACAAGUACCUAGAUAAUUGUAGCAGGUACUGUAUACGAGAAUGUCCUGAUGAACAUGUUAUUGGUUGAUUUCUAGUCCUUCAUGUGAAGCAAUCAAGGGGUGAGCAAUAUUAUCCCCUGAAGGGAGGGAUUAAUGGUUGCUAUAUUGCACACAAUGGUGAUGCACACGGUGGUGACAUUUACAGGGAGGGUUGCAUUAUGUAUCAAGAGAUGCCAGCCUGGUCCUCUACAGGCUUGCAACAUGGUGAAGCAUAACGUCAAGGAAAACCAGAAACCCUUUUUUCUUUCUUUCCUUCUUUCUUUCUUCUUUUUUGGUUUGCGUUUCUCUCAUUUAGCUUGUAACACUUGUCAUUGUGUUUCAUUGUGUGUGAUGGCACAACUUGUUUUCUGCAACAGAAAAUUUCAAGCAUUUGAUGGAAAAUGAGUCUGAUGUUGACCUUUUUCUAUCUCUCUGCUAUUUGUUGCAAAUUUAAUGACCAUGAAGUUACCUGAAAACUGAUCAGCAAUCAGCUUUAGACUUUACUUAAGAUCAACAUUCAAGUAGUUUUGCUAAGCGUGUUUCUGUUGUGCUCUAUAAAUGUUCUGCAUUUUAUGCAUUAUGCACAUAGACCAAUGAGCCUAUCAAAAAAAUAAAAA
rnacentral:lncRNA from 1 species